rnacentral:rRNA from 1 species
AGAAUCAACGCUGGCGGCGUGCCUAACACAUGCAAGUCGAACGAGAAAGUGGGAGCAAUCCCAUGAGUAAAGUGGCGCACGGGUGAGUAACACGUGACUAACCUACCCUUGAGUGGGGGAUAAACCUAGGGAAACCUGGGCUAAUACCGCAUAAUACCUACGGGUCAAAGGAGCAAUUCGCUUUAGGAGGGGUCGCGGCAGAUUAGUUAGUUGGCGGGGUAAUGGCCCACCAAGACAGUGAUCUGUA